GAUGAACGCUGGCGGCGUGCCUAAUACAUGCAAGUCGAGCGAACAGACGAGGAGCUUGCUCCUCUGACGUUAGCGGCGGACGGGUGAGUAACACGUGGAUAACCUACCUAUAAGACUGGGAUAACUUCGGGAAACCGGAGCUAAUACCGGAUAAUAUAUUGAACCACAUGGUUCAAUAGUGAAAGACGGUUUUGCUGUCACUUAUAGAUGGAUCCGCGCCGCAUUAGCUAGUUGGUAAGGUAACGGCUUACCAAGGCAACGAUGCGUAGCCGACCUGAGAGGGUGAUCGGCCACACUGGAACUGAGACACGGUCCAGACUCCUACGGGAGGCAGCAGUAGGGAAUCUUCCGCAAUGGGCGAAAGCCUGACGGAGCAACGCCGCGUGAGUGAUGAAGGUCUUCGGAUCGUAAAACUCUGUUAUUAGGGAAGAACAAAUGUGUAAGUAACUAUGCACGUCUUGACGGUACCUAAUCAGAAAGCCACGGCUAACUACG
rnacentral:rRNA from 1 species